AUUGAACGCUGGCGGCAUGCUUUACACAUGCAAGUCGAACGGUAACAGGCCGCAAGGUGCUGACGAGUGGCGAACGGGUGAGUAAUGCAUCGGAACGUGCCCAGUCGUGGGGGAUAACGCAGCGAAAGCUGCGCUAAUACCGCAUACGAUCUAUGGAUGAAAGCGGGGGACCGUAAGGCCUCGCGCGAUUGGAGCGGCCGAUGUCAGAUUAGGUAGUUGGUGGGGUAAAGGCUCACCAAGCCAACGAUCUGUAGCUGGUCUGAGAGGACGACCAGCCACACUGGGACUGAGACACGGCCCAGACUCCUACGGGAGGCAGCAGUGGGGAAUUUUGGACAAUGGGCGCAAGCCUGAUCCAGCAAUGCCGCGUGCAGGAAGAAGGCCUUCGGGUUGUAAACUGCUUUUGUACGGAACGAAACGGCUCUGGUUAAUACCUGGGGCUAAUGACGGUACCGUAAGAAUAAGCACCGGCUAACUACGUGC
rnacentral:rRNA from 1 species